rnacentral:lncRNA from 1 species
AAAAGAAACAAGAGGGGAUCCAUUAACAUCUCAAGGAGUUCCCCAAAAAGGAUUGUGUGGAACUCAUGAAGAUACUCGUGUUUCUUAAGACAUUUGAAACUGGGCAGGGAAUUCGCCAAUCAUGCUGACAUGAUUUUAGAAGAAGGAGGCAGAUUAGCACGGGCAGGUGAGAAAGGGGCUGGUGCCAGGGGGACUCCUGCAGGCUCGAAGGCUGUCACGC